rnacentral:rRNA from 1 species
UACGUAGGGACCAAGCGUUGUUCGGAUUUACUGGGCGUAAAGAGCUCGUAGGCGGUUCGUCGCGUCGGCUGUGAAAUCCCGAGGCUCAACCUCGGGUCUGCAGUCGAUACGGGCGGACUGGAGUUCGGCAGGGGAGACUGGUGAAUUCCUGGUGUAGCGGUAGAAAUGCGCAGAUAUCAGGAGGAACACCGGUGGCGAAGGCGGGUCUCUGGGCCGAUACUGACGCUGAGGAGCGAAAGCCGUGGGGAGCGAACAGG